ensembl:snRNA U6 U6 spliceosomal RNA
GUGCUCGCUUCGGCAGCACAUACACUAAAACUGGAACGAUACAGAGAUUAGCAUGGCCCCUGCACAAAGAGGAUGACACACAAAUUCGUGAAGAAUUCCAUAUUUUU